GACAGAGGGUGCAAACGUUGUUCGGAAUUACUGGGCGUAAAGGGCUCGUAGGCGGCCAACUAAGUCAGACGUGAAAUCCCUCGGCUUAACCGGGGAACUGCGUCUGAUACUGGAUGGCUUGAAUCCGGGAGAGGGAUGCGGAAUUCCAGGUGUAGCGGUGAGAUGCGUAGAUAUCUGGAGGAACACCGGUGGCGAAGGCGGCAUCCUGGACCGGUAUUGACGCUGAGGAGCGAAAGCCAGGGGAGCAAACGGG
rnacentral:rRNA from 1 species